rnacentral:rRNA from 1 species
AGCGAACGCUGGCGGCAGGCCUAACACAUGCAAGUCGAACGAACUCUUCGGAGUUAGUGGCGGACGGGUGAGUAACACGUGGGAACGUGCCUUUUGGUUCGGAAUAACUCAGGGGAACUUGUGCUAAUACCGAAUGUGCCCUUCGGGGGAAAGAUUUAUCGCCAUUAGAGCGGCCCGCGUCUGAUUAGCUAGUUGGUGAGGUAACGGCUCACCAAGGCGACGAUCAGUAGCUGGUCUGAGAGGAUGACCAGCCACACUGGGACUGAGACACGGCCCAGACUCCUACGGGAGGCAGCAGUGGGGAAUCUUGCGCAAUGGGCGAAAGCCUGACGCAGCCAUGCCGCGUGAAUGAUGAAGGUCUUAGGAUUGUAAAAUUCUUUCACCGGGGACGAUAAUGACGGUACCCGGAGAAGAAGCCCCGGCUAACUUCGUG